AUUGAACGCUGGCGGCAGGCCUAACACAUGCAAGUCGAGCGGAUGAGGGAAGCUUGCUUCCUGAUUUAGCGGCGGACGGGUGAGUAAUGCCUAGGAAUCUGCCUAUUAGUGGGGGAUAACGUUCCGAAAGGAACGCUAAUACCGCAUACGUCCUACGGGAGAAAGUGGGGGAUCUUCGGACCUCACGCUAAUAGAUGAGCCUAGGUCGGAUUAGCUAGUUGGUGAGGUAACGGCUCACCAAGGCGACGAUCCGUAGCUGGUCUGAGAGGAUGAUCAGCCACACUGGAACUGAGACACGGUCCAGACUCCUACGGGAGGCAGCAGUGGGGAAUAUUGGACAAUGGGCGAAAGCCUGAUCCAGCCAUGCCGCGUGUGUGAAGAAGGUCUUCGGAUUGUAAAGCACUUUAAGUUGGGAGGAAGGGUUGUAAGCUAAUAUCUUGCAGCUUUGACGUUACCAACAGAAUAAGCACCGGCUAACUCUGUGCCAGCCGCCGCGGUAAGAC
rnacentral:rRNA from 1 species